GGAGGAAACUACCAGAGGAUAAGAAAAAUUUGUUUGCAUGCCUCGACUCCUUGUGGUUUUCCUCAUACAGAAACAAACGGUAUGAGUCUAAGGUGUUGAGAUGGAUUAAGAACAAAGACAUAUUCUCGAAAAAAUAUGUUUUUGUUCCCAUUGUUCUCUGGGGUCACUGGAGUCUCCUGAUCUUUUGUCACCUUGGUGAAAGUUUACAAUCUAAAGAAAGAAGUC
rnacentral:misc_RNA from 1 species